rnacentral:rRNA from 1 species
CGCGGCCUAUCAGCUUGUUGGUGGGGUAGUGGCCUACCAAGGCGACGACGGGUAGCCGGCCUGAGAGGGUGACCGGCCACACUGGGACUGAGACACGGCCCAGACUCCUACGGGAGGCAGCAGUGGGGAAUAUUGCGCAAUGGGCGGAAGCCUGACGCAGCGACGCCGCGUGGGGGAUGACGGCCUUCGGGUUGUAAACCUCUUUCAGCAGGGACGAAGCGAGAGUGACGGUACCUGCAGAAGAAGCACCGGCCAACUACGUGCCAGCAGCCGCGGUAAUACGUAGGGUGCAAGCGUUGUCCGGAAUUAUUGGGCGUAAAGAGCUCGUAGGCGGUUUGUCGCGUCGGCUGUGAAAACCUGAGGCUCAACCUCAGGCCUGCAGUCGAUACGGGCAGACUUGAGUGUUGCAGGGGAGACUGGAAUUCCUGGUGUAGCGGUGAAAUGCGCAGAUAUCAGGAGGAACACCGGUGGCGAAGGCGGGUCUCUGGGCAACAACUGACGCUGAGGAGCGAAAGCGUGGGGAGCGAACAGGAUUAGAUACCCUGGUAGUCCACGCCGUAAACGGUGGGCGCUAGGUGUGGGGCUCAUUCCACGAGUUCCGUGCCGCAGCUAACGCAUUAAGCGCCCCGCCUGGGGAGUACGG